GUCUUUCUGGACUACACCCCGUAGGUAUAGUUCAAAACCAAAUUGCAUAAUGGGCUAUGUUCUCCUGCUGCUACGCCUAGCAGUUAUAAUUGCUAAAUUUGUUCUUGCAAAAAAUCGUCUGCUUUUAUCAUAUAAGACAAGAAAAGCUAAGCAUCUUUUGUUUGUUUUUCUUUUUGUUCGCACCUUUUGGAGAUGUAGCCCUUUCUUUGCGCUCCAUCUGCUUACUUGUUUCGUCAACACUCUAGAGCUUUCACCCAGUUUAUUUUGCUACAUUGUCUUCCUGAACCCUUUGCUUCCCCUCUUGUUUGUGUUUUUGAUUCACCCAUUUUAGCAUCCUUCUGUGUUUCUAUCUUGCUGCACUUUAUGGCUCCAGGCGACAAUCCUCGUCUAAAGGAGAAAAAGGACGACGAAGGGACCAGGCAUGUACCACCGUAGUUGCCACUCUCUAUUUUUUUCUAGGCUCGAUCACUUUGUCCUAUUGUUCUUAUCUUCACUAUUUUCCAUGCAAGGAAGGUCAAACUCCCUCUACCUAGUGCUCCGGUUCCUGAGAGCUGUUCUAAGAGAGGUGAAGGGUUGCUUUCGGUGGUCUACCUUGUCGUUGAAGGGUGAAGCAUGAAGCAGGAGGGGAACCAUUUCCAUUGGCUGGAGAAAUAUGGAAGGUUUUGUGAGUCCAGGGCUGGACUUCCUUUGUGACAUUUGAUGCAAGUAGGUACACCGAUGAUAAUGGCAUUGUUCUCAAACCAGAAAAUAUUCCAUUAGCCACUAAACUCUCACCCUCUCUAAUUAAACGACUGGAUUUUGGGCAUGCCAACUAUAUAAAACAGGGUAUUGUUCGUUGUAUUGUAUAAAGUGCAUCUCAAAGACAAGCUUUGGUCAGUGAUUUGUGUAAUGAAAAAGUUUGUCUUCGUGUUAAUUGGGGAAAUUUUCAAUGGCAUAGAAAGUUUGGUUAGUGAUUUGUGCAA